AGAGUUUGAUCAUGGCUCAGAUUGAACGCUGGCGGCAGGCUUAACACAUGCAAGUCGAGCGGAGAUGAGGUGCUUGCACCUUAUCUUAGCGGCGGACGGGUGAGUAAUGCUUAGGAAUCUGCCUAUUAGUGGGGGACAACAUUCCGAAAGGAAUGCUAAUACCGCAUACGUCCUACGGGAGAAAGCAGGGGAUCUUCGGACCUUGCGCUAAUAGAUGAGCCUAAGUCGGAUUAGCUAGUUGGUGGGGUAAAGGCCUACCAAGGCGACGAUCUGUAGCGGGUCUGAGAGGAUGAUCCGCCACACUGGGACUGAGACACGGCCCAGACUCCUACGGGAGGCAGCAGUGGGGAAUAUUGCGCAAUGGGGGCAACCCUGACGCAGCCAUGCCGCGUGAAUGAAGAAGGCCUUCGGGUUGUAAAGUUCUUUCGGUAGCGAGGAAGGCAUUUAGUUUAAUAAACUAGGUGAUUGACGUUAACUACAGAAGAAGCACCGGCUAACUCCGUGCCAGCAGCCGCGGUAAUACGGAGGGUGCGAGCGUUAAUCGGAAUAACUGGGCGUAAAGGGCACGCAGGCGGUGACUUAAGUGAGGUGUGAAAGCCCCGGGCUUAACCUGGGAAUUGCAUUUCAUACUGGGUCGCUAGAGUACUUUAGGGAGGGGUAGAAUUCCACGUGUAGCGGUGAAAUGCGUAGAGAUGUGGAGGAAUACCGAAGGCGAAGGCAGCCCCUUGGGAAUGUACUGACGCUCAUGUGCGAAAGCGUGGGGAGCAAACAGGAUUAGAUACCCCGGUAGUCCAA
rnacentral:rRNA from 1 species